rnacentral:rRNA from 1 species
GAUGAACGCUGGCGGCAUGCCUAACACAUGCAAGUCGAGCGCCGUAGCAAUACGGAGCGGCGCACGGGUGAGUAACGCGUGGGAACCUGCCCAGAGGUUCGGGACAACCGCGGGAAACUGCGGCCGAUACCGGAUGAUACCUGAGGGUCAAAGAUUUAUCGCCUUUGGGGGGGCCCGCGUCAGAUUAGGUAGUUGGUGAGGUAACGGCGCACCAAGCCUGUGAUCUGUAGCUGGUCUGUGAGGAUGACCAGCCACACUGGUGCUGAGCCACGGCCCAGACUCCUACGGGAGGCAGCAGUGGUGAGUAUUGGACAAUGGGGGCAACCCUGAUCCAGCAAUGCCGCGUGGGUGAUGAAGGCCUUCGGGUUGUAAAGCCCUUUCGGCGGGGACGAUGAUGACGGUACCCGCAGAAGAAGCCCCGGCUAACUUCGUGCCAGCCGCCGCAGUAACAC